GUGGUGAGCGGCGCCGACGAACAGCGACAUUAGACUAGUAGAGGUGGUGAGGUUAGCGAUUUUGAUUUUGGAAUUGGGAAUAAUGGGGAAUGGCACGGGAGGUAAAGCUAAAGCUAAAUCUUAACAUUAAAAAUAAUUAAAUAAAAUAAUUAUUAUAUAAUUCGGGUCGGGCUGGCCCGUUUAGAAAACGAACCUUGUUUUUGGAUCUAUAUUUUUGCCCAAACCCUCCCAUUUUCGGGUGGGUCUUCGGGCAGAGUUGGGUAGCCC
rnacentral:lncRNA from 1 species